CAAUAGCGUAUAUUAAAGUUGUUGCAGUUAAAAAGCUCGUAGUUGAAUUUCUGUCAUACGUUGGCUGGCGUGCUGUAAAGUAAUGUCCGGUCGGCGUUGACAUUUUUCGGGUGACGCAGGCUUCUUUAUUGAACUUGUGAUCUCCUGGACUUUUACUUUGAGAAAAUUAGAGUGUUUCAAGCAGGCAUCUGCCUUGAAUACUACAGCAUGGAAUAAUAAGAUAGGACUUUGGUUCUUUCUUGUUGGUUCGGAGAACUAAAAUAAUGAUUAACAGGGACAGUCGGGGGCAUUCGUAUUUAACUGUCAGAGGUGAAAUUCUUAGAUUAGUUAAAGACGAACUACUGCGAAAGCAUUUGCCAAGGAUGUUCCCAUUAA
rnacentral:rRNA from 1 species